UAAACCACAUGCUGGCACAUAGGCUCUGUCAAGCCUUCCCUUCCCAUGCCUACGUCUCCAACAGCGGCUGCUCUGCGCUGCAUCUCGCAGCCCAGGUCAGAGCCAGGGCCGGCCUGCAGCACGCCACGCAGCCUGUGUUCGACAGCAUCUGACAGCCUUUGUCCAGAGGCACUCUGGUGCUGAGCUUCACCACGUCCAGGACAGGGACGGGGAGGGCUCUCUGGGUGCAGGAGUGUUAAAAACAAGAGUACAACCCCCCCACCAUUACAAAAGGGUGAACAUAAACAUCUCGCCCGCCCUGCCCUUCACCCAGGGAUGCUGCCUGCGCUGGCGAUUCGGUCGACACAAACCCCUUCCCCAAGCAACCCGGGAGGGGGCAGGGGCAGCGGAGGCCUCGCUUACAGCACCCUUGUGUUAAAACGUCCAUGACUGCCAGCACUAUUCUUCACCUUGUCACUUCCCAUUAUCUUAAACCAACAGGCCCGCAUUCAGCAGCUCAACUUGGAAAAUAGUGACGUCACUUUGUAGGGGCUGGGGGAAGGAGAGGCAGCGAGGGGACAGGCAGCACACACCGAUAGUUACUGUGGCAUGCAGCUAAAGCACACAGAGAACUGAACACCGACCUGUGCGGGGCUCCUGUCCAAAACACAAAGAAUGCAAGAGAGUGUUCCGCUCAGUGGGAGAAGCCACUUCUAAGCCCAUGAACUCGGCUUCCUGGUGGAGCAAACAAAAAAAGAGACACAGCGCAGCGAGGCAAGCCCUGCCGCUGGACACCGCUCCGCAGAGCGUGCGGCGAGAGCUCGCGGGGGACACAAAGCGCAGCGUCGGGCAAUCUGGAGGCAAGAGCCAGCCCUGCCACCGACUCCUGACCUUGGGCAAGUCAUUUUCCCCACUGGUAGGUCUCCAUCUGUACAACAGGGAGCAGUUCAUUAGUAUACAGCAAGCUGCAUUUGCUGGUGAACGGCUUGAGGAGCUCAGGCCUCGCACUUCGGUGGUUUCAGGUUUUUGCCAUGUACAGGCACCACGGUACAACCCGGGAAGCCUGCUCCUUCCAUAAGCCCUGGCUUUAUUAAGCUGCAGCCAUACAAUCCUACCCAGGGAAGGCCACGGCCAUAAACAUUGACAAGGCAUAUAUUCCUCCUGAAAAAUGGGAGCUCCUAGUGACAGGGUUAAUGAUGUUUGAGCAGCCUCUCACCCUGAGCUCCACAUA